UACGUAGGGAGCAAGCGUUUGUUCGGAUUUACUGGGCGUAAAGGGCGCGUAGGCGGCAAUUCAAGUCAGUUGUGAAAUCUCCGGGCUUAACCCGGAAAGGUCAACUGAUACUGUGCGACUAGAGUGCGGAAGGGGCAACUGGAAUUCUCGGUGUAGCGGUGAAAUGCGUAGAUAUCGAGAGGAACACCUGCGGCGAAGGCGGGUUGCUGGGCCGACACUGACGCUGAUGCGCGAAAGCCAGGGGAGCGAACGGG
rnacentral:rRNA from 1 species